UCAAACUUAUAGCUAUGUGAAAUUUUGGGUUUCAGUAUUUAAUUUAAAUUUAAAAUUGUACAUGAUCUAUCUACGAGACACAUCACAUUAUGUGUAAUGUAAUAAGUAAGGUCAUAAUCCCUUUAGCCCUACCCAGAUAUGCUCAAUGAUAUUUUAGGAUACAGUACUGUUAUAUUAGCAUCAUUUUUGUAAAGCUCAAUCUGCAUUGCAUAAACUGUACACUGUUAGAUUAAUUUUAAUUAACAAUUUUUGGGAUUCUUAACAGUUAAAUCUUCUCCUUAAAAAUGUGGUUCUGCUUCAGGUAACAGCAGGCCUUGUAAAACACUUGUUGAUAUGCUUACUAAUCUGUAAGCUGAAAUAUGCUUAUUGACCUAUUUUAUACCAGAACCCGAAGAUUUAACUUACACAAGAUCUUAACCCUAACUGUUCAACAAAGAUAAAAACGGAUCUUUUGGAUACUACUUUUUGGAUUAGAGCCGACAACACAAAAUCCACCCUGCGAUAUUGAUGACCUUGCUUUAGGCUUUUACUGUGGAUAUUAUAAUUUCUGCCUUUGCACUGAUGGUCACAUCCCUUGCCAAAUGAUUGAAGUCAUGAUUUAAAUUUUAUUUAAUCCAAUAAGUGAAAGUUUUCACAUAACUUUAAAAAAAAUGGAAUUCAUAACAUGGAAAUAUCUUGUUAUUGUAAGAAUAGGGUAUUUAGAUAACUAAUCUGUUACUUUUAUUUUUCUGUCACGACUGCUACAUGUUGCCAUAACUUUAAAAUAUGAAGCAAGGCUUGAACUCAUCAGGUGAACUUAACAUAUGUUUUACAUAUACAGUAUUUUGGCACACGGUUAUUGUUGCAGACUUAAAGAAUAACAAAUACUGCAGGGUCUGUCUUUAUAAUGGUUCUUUUACUCGACUUAAUUUGAUCAAAUAAAUGUUUUGAACACAACAUACUGUGCAAGUAUUAUUUAUAGUUACAUAUUGUCACAUUGGCAAUUUGAACGUCAUAGUAUUCCUAUAAUAUAAAACUGCAUAACACGCUAAAAGAGACAUUUUCUGGAUUACUGUAACUGUUCUUUUCAUACUUUAAAUAUUGUUCUCAUAAUAUCUGGCAUGUGCACAAGUAACAUUUCUCUAGUUUAAAAAGACAAGCCCACCAGACCAAAUUCUCAAGCUCCCCCUGCUCCAAAGCUGGCAGACAAUAUGGUGACUGAAAUCUGACAGUGGAGACAAUUCGUUGCAAUUUGCCAAACCCCGGUUCUUAAAUAGUAUGAGCGUUUCUCAUUGGUAAUGCCUAAUGCUGGACCCUAUCAGAUGCUCUCUCAUCUGUCUAAACUAAUCUUAAUGAAUAAAUAAAUAAACAGACAAAGUGUAAGAAAACUGCAAAUGUGUGCUGGGUGGGUAGUCCUGUAAGAUGUGUAAUGCAUUCCUCCUGCAGCAGGUGGCGUAAAUGUCCUGUACCUGUGAUAGUGGUGGUCCAACAACUUUUGAAGUAGUUGUUACUGUCCUCUUGAAGUGUAUAGUCCUUUGAUGUAUUGUGUCCACCCAUAUCGGAAUGCUUUUUGUAAAAAGCUUUUGAAUUAUCGCUCUUGAGAACUCCACAGGAGACAGCCCCGCUGAUGUUUAAGGGCAAGGAGAGCAGGUCUAUGACCUGGAUGCCAAAGAACUUGAGGGAAUUAACUAUUUCAACAACAGUGUUAUGAAGAACCUAAAAUCAUUUUUAAAUCAUUUUUAGCAGUGAUCAAUGGAUCAAACAUUCAGUGAUCUAGACACCAGGACCUCAAGCGAAUCUUCUACUCAGUCAUAUUCCUUCUUGAAUACAGAAAUAAACUCAGAAGACUUUU